rnacentral:rRNA from 1 species
AAAAUUAAAAGGACGCGGUAACCUUGACCGUGAUAAUGUAGCAUAAUCAUUCGCCAUUUAAUUGAUGGAUAGUAUGAAUGGUUGAACGAAUAUUUCACUGUCUUAAAAAGAAUUACUUAAAAAUUAGAAUAAUAGUAAAGAUACUAUUUAAUAUUGUAAGACGAAAAGACCCUAUAGAGCUUAACUAUAAUCUUCUUAUAACAAUAGAAAAAAUUUUAAUAAAAAGGAAGAUUGGUAGUUUAGUUGGGGCGACUGUCUUUUAAAUAAAACAAAGACAAGCAAAGUAAAUAAAAAAACUUAUUGUAUAAUACAUUAAUUUAACAAUUAUAAAUAUAGGCUAUAAUGACCCGUUAUAAAUAAAUAAAAAUUAUAACGAUCAAUAAAUAAAAGCUACCUUAGGGAUAACAGGAUAAUUUUAUUUUAGAGACCUAAUCGAAAAUAAAGUUUGUCACCUCUAUGUUGAAUUAAGA